AAAGUCGUGGCCGAGCGGUUAAGGCGAUGGACUAGAAAUCCAUUCGCGUCUCCCCGCACAGGUUCAAAUCCUGUCGACUGCG
rnacentral:tRNA from 1 species